UAGCGACCGGUCUACCACCGGGAUGUUCAUAACCCUUUGUUGUCCGACUCUGUUGCCUCCGGGGCGACCCUGCCUUCGGGCGGGGGCUCCGGGUGGACACUUCAAACUCUUGCGUAACUUUGCAGUCUGAGUAAACUUAAUUAAUAAAUUAAAACUUUUAACAACGGAUCUCUUGGUUCUGGCAUCGAUGAAGAACGCAGCGAAAUGCGAUAAGUAAUGUGAAUUGCAGAAUUCAGUGAAUCAUCGAAUCUUUGAACGCACAUUGCGCCCCCUGGUAUUCCGGGGGGCAUGCCUGUUCGAGCGUCAUUUCACCACUCAAGCCUCGCUUGGUAUUGGGCAACGCGGUCCGCCGCGUGCCUCAAAUCGACCGGCUGGGUCUUCUGUCCCCUAAGCGUUGUGGAAACUAUUCGCUAAAGGGUGUUCGGGAGGCUACGCCGUAAAACAACCCCAUUUCUAAGGUUGACCUCGGAUCAGGUAGGGAUACCCGCUGAACUUAAGCAUAUCAAAAGCCGGGAGGAA
rnacentral:rRNA from 1 species